rnacentral:rRNA from 1 species
AUUGAACGCUGGCGGCAGGCCUAACACAUGCAAGUCGAGCGGAGCGGCGGACGGGUGAGUAAUGCCUGGGAAUCUGCCUGGUAGUGGGGGAUACCGUCCGGAAACGGGCGCUAAUACCGCAUACUAUCAGAUGAGCCUAGGUCGCAUGAGCUAGUUGGGGGGGUAAAGGCCUACCAAGGUGACGAUCCGUACCUGGUCUGAGUGGAUGAUCAGUCACACUGGAACUGAGCCACGGUCCAGACUCCGACGGGAGGCAGCAGUGGGGAAUAGUUGACAAUGGGCGAAAGCCUGAUCCAGCCAUGCCGCGUGUGUGAAGAAGGUCUUCGGAUUGUAAAGCACUUUAAGUUGGGAGGCGUUACCAACAGAAUAAGCACCGGCUAACUUCGUGCCAGCAGCCGCGGUAAUUA